UACAGAGGGUGCAAGCGUUGUUCGGAAUUAUUGGGCGUAAAGCGCGUGUAGGCGGCAUGGCAAGUCGGGUGUGAAAGCCCUCAGCUUAACUGAGGAAGUGCGCCCGAAACUGCUUUGCUUGAGUGCCGGAGAGGAUGGCGGAAUUCCCCAAGUAGAGGUGAAAAUUCGUAGAUAUGGGGAGGAACACCGGUGGCGAAGGCGGCCACCUGGACGGUCACUGACGCUGAGACGCGAAAGCGUGGGUAGCAAACAGG
rnacentral:rRNA from 1 species